rnacentral:lncRNA from 1 species
CUGUAAUUCAGUCAUAUUGUUAUGUCACGGCGGGGACUGAGGGUCUCCCUCAGGUUCUUGCUCUACAUCCAAAUGGAGAGGUGGGGCUGACUCAAAGCCGAAGAUCCCCCAAGUGGGAAGAAGUCAGGUCUGCCCGGGGGGGCAGAAGGAGGAACUCAGAAAACGAAAGUAAUAUGAAGCAGAGGAAGUCACCAUCUCAAGAGAGUCAAGAGAGAAACUCAGUCAACAGAGAACCUCAACUCUACUGUGCCAGUGCUGAGAUUUGCCAUGCUGUUCCAAGGGAGGAUCCCAAGGAGACUCUGCCCAGAUAUUGUGUGCAUCACCCCUACCCUGUACCAGUGAUCGAACUCAGGACCUUGUGCUUGCCAGGCAGACGUGGCACCGCUGAGCAACAUCCCCAGCCCCUAAAGAGUGUUUUCUUUUCUUGACUCAGCCAGUAGUUCUCAUAUAGAUCUUUCCGCCAAUGCUUGCUUGCAUUCAAAGCCCUCAUUGGUACACUCUGCAUUUUGUUAACAGUUUUGGACACUUGACUCUAGCAUAGGGCAGGCUUUUAUCAAGAAUUUUUCAUUACUGAUCGAUCUAGGUAGAUUAUAAAAGGCAUUAACUUCAGAUUCUUAGAUCUAAAUUGCUUGAACCUUUGGAAUGUUCAAAUAGAGACAAAAUAUAUUCCUGAAUUCUUUCUAAAGCUGAGAGUUUUCAUAAAAAUGACAAGAAGAAGAAGUGUACCACAAAUGCCUCCAGGUACAGAGAUUUUUUAUUCAAUUGGCCCGAGAUAUUUUUGUUUUAUAAGGGUUUCCCAGAUGAUUCUGAUUCAUGACCAAGGUUGAGGACCACCAUUUUUCUAGGUCAUUGUGGAUUUGAGAAUUUGAGGUAUUCAAUUCAACUAUUACCUUUUUUUCCCUUCUAAUUUGAAGGUUUCUUUUGAAUGAAACCCUUGUGUGGGAGCAAUACUAAUAACCGUAUUACUAUAUACUUUUAAUUAAAAUUAAUCUCAGGGAACCUGCUUCUCUCUCAUUGAUGUAGGCGGAGACAAAUUCCUAUUGUUCUACCAUUCUGUUUUAUUUUCCAAAAAUCAUACCUAAGUGUUGGGAGCAAUGCUACAUAAUUCUAGGGAUAAAUCAUUUGGUUAGCCUAGUUCUCUUGCCUACAGCCCAGCUACAGAAUAACUCCAGUUUGGCCUCCGGUCACAACUGAGACUUCAGUGAUCCAGUGAUGCUGUGAUUCUCCAGGACAAGAAACAUCCUGGGAGAACAAACAUCUGCUCAGUUCCUCAUUGUUCUUGGACUGAUUAACAUCUUGUUUGCCGGAGAUGUACUGAACUCUCUGCAAGCCUUCCGUUACACCUUGUUUAUCCCAAUGUGAACUAUUGAACUCUCUGAAAGUCAUUUGUUACAUUUGUUUCUCCCGAUGUACUGAAUAAAAGGUGUGGUAAGCUGGGGGCUUUGUCUUUGCCGCCCAGAGCAGCACUGAUCAAACCCAAAGCUCAGCUUCUUCUCAGUCUCAUUUUUCUACCUUUCCUGUAAUUCGCCGUGUGCUGCCGUGGCUCGCAGGAGACCAGGACUAACUGCAGAGGUUCUGGUAACGUCCCCUUCCCCUGUCCCCUACACCUAAGCUUUACCAACUGCCUUGUACCUGUUGAAUUAAAACUAUGUCUCUUAGGGCCAGGGAUUUAGCAGUUCUGGCACCUGCCUUGCAAGCGCAAAGUUCCGAGUUCGAUCCCUGGUACCAAAAAACCCCCAACAAACUACGUCUCCUUCAUUGUCCUAUGCCACCCCCCCUUUUAAAGUAAAGUCUAUAUAUUGAUUGAGAAGUAUAGUGCAGGCUUCAAGAACUCCACAUAGAACCUGAGGAAAAAAAGUAGAAGGUUUGGGAAAAUCCUGAAGGAAGUUAGGAGAAAUAUAGUGGAUGUCUUCCUAAAUCAAAGCAGUUUAGAGCCAAAGCUGAUGGUAAAGAAUGUUGCAAAAUUCAUUAGAUAUCUGCUAAUGAGAAAUAAUGGUAAUUCCCAGGACUGUCUCAGGUAAUACAAGGUAAUGUGCAACUACUCGGGUCAGAGGCAAGGUCACAAGCAUCCAUAAUUAACUUUCUCAAAUGCAAACAGAGACUUGAUUAUUAAUAAAACUAGUAAUAAGCUAGGUGUGAUGGUGCAUGCCUGCGACCCAAGAACUCUGGGGGGCUGAGGCAGGAGGAUCACAAGUUUAAGCCCAGCUUGAGCGAAAUAGGGAGGUCUUGCCUCAAAAAAUGACAGGGAGAGGUGUGCCUCAGUGUAAAGGUCCUACGUUCUAUCUCC